UACGUAGGGGGCAAGCAUUGUCCGGAUUUAUUGGGCGUAAAGAGCGUGUAGGCGGCCAGGUAGGUGGGUUGUGAAAACUGGAGGCUCAACCUUCAGACGUCGACCCAAACCCCUGGCUAGCAGUCCGGAAGAGGAGAGUGGAAUUCCUGGUGUAGCGGUGAAAUGCGCAGAUAUCAGGAAGAACACCCGUGGCGAAGGCGGCUCUCUGGGACGGUACUGACGCUGAGACGCGAAAGCGUGGGGAGCGAACAGG
rnacentral:rRNA from 1 species